AUGUAUGUAGCUCAAUGGUAGAGUUCUUCCCUAGCACAUGUAAGGCUCUGGGUUCUAUUCCCAGCACGCACA
rnacentral:tRNA from 1 species